rnacentral:lncRNA from 1 species
GACAAUGUGAAGGUAUUUUAACCCCUCAGGCAGUAAAUGCAGCAGAUGUCUAUAGAUCGCCAUACAGAUCAUUUCCAACAAUGAGUUCUACAAGAUUGCAACAACGCCAGGCUGACUCAGAGAAAUUAAAGGUCCUGCUCCUGCAUUUCUGAUCACUUAUUCCGGCACCAAUUCUACUCUGCUACACUCUAUAGUUUUCAGCUCAAUUCCGGUCUAGUGCUCCACCAUGAGCACUGCUGCUGGGAGCCACCCUGCCUUUACUGCCUUCCUGUGCCAAUUCACAGCCUUCUACGAGUCUAGGUUUCUGGUUUGCUUGAGUUUCUGCCACAACUUCCCUCUGCCAUGGACUGUUAUCUGGAAGUACAAGAAGAAAUAAUACCUUUCCUCUCAAGUUACCUUUCGUCAUGGUGUUUUUUCACAGCGAUGGAAACAAAGACACUGAAUAAAGCUUUUACCUACUGAGUCAUCUCAUUGAAUCAUCAAGCACUGUUUGGUUUUAGUGAGAAGCAAGUCUACCUAUUUAAACAUGGUAUUGAAGUAAUAAAACAA